AUGCUUGCUUCAACAGCACAUAUAUUAAGAUUGAAAUGAUACAGAGAAGAUGAGCAUGGGCCCUGCACAAAGAUGACAUAUAAAUGCAUGAAGCGUUCCAUAUCUAA
ensembl:snRNA U6 U6 spliceosomal RNA